GCCUUCGUUGUGUAGUGGUCAGCACGCUCGACGCGUAACCGAGAGGUCCGUGGUUCGAUUCCCGGCGAAGGCG
rnacentral:tRNA from 1 species